GCCAUGCGAGUCGAGAGGUGUUAAGACCUCGGCGUACUGCUCAGUAACACGUGGAUAAUCUGCCCUCAGGAGAGGAAUAAUCCCGGGAAACUGGGGCUAAUGCCUCAUAGGAGACGGGUGCUGGAAUGCUCUGUCUCCCAAAGGUCCGCCGCCUGAGGAUGAGUCUGCGGCCGAUUAGGUUGUUGUUGGGGUAACGGCCCAACAAGCCCGUGAUCGGUACGGGUUGUGGGAGCAAGAGCCCGGAGAUGGAUUCUGAGACAUGAAUCCAGGCCCUACGGGGCGCAGCAGGCGCGAAAACUUUACAAUGCGAGCAAUCGUGAUAAGGAAACCCUGAGUGCCUGUCAAUGCAGGCUGUUCUGGUGUUUAGCACGCACCAGGAGAAAGGGCGGGGCAAGACCGGUGCCAGCCGCCGCGGUAAUACCGGCUGCUCGAGUAAUAGCCGCUUUUACUGGGCUUAAAGCGUUCGUAGCUUGGUCGUUAAGUCUCUGGGGAAAUCUUCUGGCUUAACCAGAAGGCGUCUCAGUGAAACUAGCGACCUAGGAACCGGGAGAGGUGAGACGUACUUCGGGGGUAGGAGUGAAAUCUUGUAAUCCUCGAGGGACGACCGAUGGCGAAGGCAUCUCACCAGAACGGCUUCGACAGUGAGGGACGAAAGCUGGGGGAGCAAACCGGAUUAGAUACCCGGGUAGUCCCAGCCGUAAACGAUGUGCGUUAGGUGUGUCGGUGACCACGAGUCGCCGAGGUGCCGAA
rnacentral:rRNA from 1 species